UGUGUUCCGCCCACUGAGUCCGUGUUACAGACGGUAUCGUUACUUCCCUCGCGAACACCGGCUUUCGGUAGAACAAUGUCGAAGGUACGAGCGAAACACAGUAGUUGCUUUGUUGUUGGCUGCACAAACCAACACAGAAGUCUUUUUUAACCCCUACGCCCGAGGAUCUGAAGACCCAGUGGAUUCAUUUUAUUUUUGAUGGAAAUGUUCCCGCUCCAACUCCGAAAGUGUUGUACGUGUGUGCUAACCGUUUCACCUAGGACUGCUUUCUCAACGAGGGCCAGUACAAUGCAGGAUUUCCUACAAGUCUGAAGAUAAAGCCUGGAUCAGUACCGACUGUGCGUGACCCAACUUUGAACUUCGGAGCUGCCAUCUAUACAGCUUCCUGCAACAGGGGAUGUUGCAUGCCAGACUGACCCACUGCAGGCACACAGUUAUCCUUGAAGAGUCUUCAGCCUCACAUCAGAAGUACAGGGAAUGUGGUGGACCUCAUAUUUGAAAAAGUCUUUGUGACCUGGGACCAUACACAGAAGCUGCUUUGGCCAUCCCCAUCCCAGAGGACCUCACUGCACAGUUCGAGCGGCCUGAGAAGGAGGAGGUCAU